rnacentral:rRNA from 1 species
UACGUAGGGGGCGAGCGUUGUCCGGAAUCAUUGGGCGUAAAGAGCGUGUAGGCGGCUUGGCAAGUCUGACGUGAAAGCCCGCGGCUCAACCGCGGAUUGUCGUUGGAAACUGCCUCGCUAGAGUCCGGAAGAGGAGAGCGGAAUUCCUGGUGUAGCGGUGGAAUGCGCAGAUAUCAGGAAGAACACCCGUGGCGAAGGCGGCUCUCUGGGACGGUACUGACGCUGAGAAGCGAAAGCAUGGGGAGCGAACAGG